rnacentral:rRNA from 1 species
AACGAACGCUGGCGGCAUGCCUAACACAUGCAAGUCGAACGAGACCUUCGGGUCUAGUGGCGCACGGGUGCGUAACGCGUGGGAACCUGCCCUUAGGUUCGGAAUAACUCCCCGAAAGGGGUGCUAAUACCGGAUAAUGUCUUCGGACCAAAGAUUUAUCGCCUUUGGAUGGGCCCGCGUUGGAUUAGCUAGUUGGUAGGGUAAAAGCCUACCAAGGCGACGAUCCAUAGCUGGUCUGAGAGGAUGAUCAGCCACACUGGGACUGGGACACGGCCCAGACUCCUCCGGGGGGCCGCAGUGGGGAAUUUUGGACAAUGGGCGAAAGCCUGAUCCCGCAAUGCCGCGUGGGUGAUGAAGGCCUUAGGGUUGUAAAGCUCUUUUACCCGGGAUGAUAAUGCCAGUCCCGGGGAAAUAAACCCCGGCUACCCCCGU